GGAUGCAAGGGAGAUCUGGCUGCAACAUGGGUCACCCCGUUGAUUGCCAGGGUUGAUUUGGCUGAUCUGGCUGGCUAGGCAGGUGUCCACUUCCUCCCUCACUGCUCCAUGCAGCCCUUCUGAAGCUACGUGCUGGUCAAAAAGGAUGACCUUCCUGGAUAGAGGAAGACUGUUCUUCGGUCAAGGAUGUAUGAGUAGCUGUGCUCCCCUGCUACAACCUCCAAACAAACCCCAUAAUAAUUUUAUAGGAAAACAAAGGGAAUAACAGUACCUUCAUAGUGAAGAAACUU
rfam:Equus caballus chromosome 14, whole genome shotgun sequence.